rnacentral:tRNA from 1 species
GGGCCGGUGGUCUAGCGGCUAUGACGCCGCGCUUACGACGCGGAGGGCGCCGGUUCGAGUCCGGCCCGGCCCA